rnacentral:tRNA from 2 species
GCCUAGCUGGCUCAGUCGGUGGAGCAUGUGACUCUUGAUCUCAGAGUUGUGGGUUUGAGCCCCACGCUGGGUG